GGGCGGGGCGGGGCGGGGCUGACCCCACCGACUCCGCCCCUUGGACGCCUCGCCCCUCUCGUGGAAGGCUCCGCCCCGUCUUUUAGAGGCGGUUCCUCCAGCCCACGCCCCCUAAGAGGCCCCACCCCUCCCGCUUCUCCCGCCCCAGAAACCUCGCGCCCUCCCCGCCCCUCCCCCACCACCCCGGAGCGGCUAGGUUCCUCCUCCGCAGAACCCCGCCUCCACUCACUCCUCCUCAGCCUCCAGCGCCACCUCGUAUCUCCUCAAUCCCGACAUGUCCUGGGUUCCGAACGUCUCCUGGGGAGCGGCAUGAUUGGAUCAAGGAUUCCCCAAUCCCGGAUCCCCUUCUCUGUCAUUCUCUGGACCAGUUUGACUUGUUCUCGGCUCUUCCUAGGAAGCCAAGCCUUUCUACCUCAUCUGGACAUCCCAGCCCCCAGCCCUCAGCUUAAGUGCUACCCGUCAGGCAGACGGGCUGCAGUCUCAGCUUUGCCACUCACCAGCUGAGUGGACUUGGGAGAUCACUCUACCUCUCUGUGCCUCCAUUUCCUCAUACAUAGAAUGGGACUAGUGAUCCCCACCUCGCAGGGUUGUUUGAGGAUGCAAUGAUAAUGCACGUAAAGGACUCAGCUUGGAGCCUGGCACAUGGUCAGCACCUCAAAGGAACGGUUUUCCCUGUUCUCUGAGGGCCACUUCCUCAGACCUGCACCUGCUGUACUAUUUCCCAUUUUCAUUUAGGAGGUGGAUCAACUCAGAGAGGUGGUAUGUGUGGUAGCUAAGAGUCAGAUUCUGGAGCCCGUCUGCCCAGCCAGGACCCCCAGCUCUGCCACUUUACCGGCCAUCCAGCCUGGGUUGAAACCAUAGGCUUUCAAGGUUUAUUGAAAGCCUAACUGUGUGCCCGGCGCGACGCUCGCUCGGUGCCGGAGGAUGAAGUGCUUUCACCUGGACAGGGACGGAAAACGAGUUUGUCCUGCUCAUCAGUGGACAUGGGAAAAUUCUAGACCCCUGGUCUAUCAUGAGACACAUUUGAGGACAAAUAAAGGGGGAAAAAAAAAUCCCAGAAAGAUGAAGGAAAUGAGAACAGUAGUGUUCAACCCACAAGCCUGUUUGCCUUUGGAGGACGGAGGACCGCGACGACGAUGCUGCCUCCUAGUGGCGGAGUCGGGCAAUGAGGCCAAGUGGAGUUUAACAUCCCGUCCGCUGUGGGUAUUCUGAACCGAAAUUGGCGCCGGCUGCUCAGGUAAUCACAGGUGGAGUUCGGUUAUUCAUUUAAUAUUAGAUUGAAAUUUAUUAUUAGCACAAUCCAGGACUCUAAAACAAAAGUCUUCAAGAACAUGGCAUCAGAGUUUCCCUGGGGUGUUUUUGUUUGCCACCAACUGGGAAAUGGAUUUCUUGAAGAAAAUGAAGUUUUCGGCUUCCUGACAUAGCUAGCUAACACAAUCUCUGUAGGGGAACUGCAGAAGAGCCACCGCUAGAAGAAUACCAAAUAUAGGCAUUAGAAAAAGGCUUGGCAAUUUCAACACUCAUAAAAGUCGUAAUUCAUUGAUGGCAAAGGAAAGAUACAUUGAUGAUUUUUAACAAAAUAGCAUCACUUUGUCCCCAAAUACAAGGAUAAAUAACACCUGGACAUGCAAAGAAAAAGAACUUCACAAAAGAGGUCAGUUGAAGCUGAAGACAUUUUCACAGGUAAAUGAUUAAAGCUAGGAAACAAAUUAAUUUUGAGCUUUCAUAAAUAGCAAGUAUAGACCCAGUCCCCCUGACCUUCCUGUGCCAUAAAGCUGGGCAGAAGAUGCCAAAUAUGUCAGUGGUGCUGUGCUGGUAGCCCCAUAGUACCCCAUUUUUGAAGAUGUCAAAAGAAAGAUCCUGUCAUUGGUGAUCAUGUCCCUCUAAUGACUGAUGAGUAAAGAAUGAAAUAGUGGCUAGCGAACAUGUGGCCCAGGUACCAUGGAGGGAGAGGAGUGUUAAGAAAUCUGGUUGCUCAGUUUGGAAUUAGUUUCCAGUUCAUAUGACUGAGGUUGUUAAGACAUUUCUAUUAGCUGUAAUUCUGGGAGCUCUUACUAGCCCCAUCCAUCCUUUACAUUUGUGUUAAAGAGGCCCUUAAAGGAUUUACAAAGAAGGAGUGAGCCAGGGGAAGCAGAAGGCUUCAGACUUCGAGGCAACACUGACAAGAGGGAGCUGGCCCACCAUUUCGUAAUUGUGUGUGGGUGUGUUAUCAUUUCAUGGAAGAGAUAGUGCUGAAAUCAUUUGAAAACAUGGUAUUAGUAAUUUUCUGAAUGGCACUGAGGGUGACAUUGUUAGAAGAUAGUAAUUACUGUUAAAGGAAAUUCCAGGGGUUACAGUGAGUUUUCAUGUUUGUUUGAUGAUGGUUUUGUAAAUUUGGGGGAUGACUGAUCUUUGGAAUUUUUUUCUUUUCACAUUUCUAGUAAAAGCCAUUAAUUGUCUUUCUGUUGAACACUGGCAGACUAGUAUUCAGUAAAAUAUUUCUUUUUACUGUAUGCAUGAGCAUCAAUUUGGAAGUCCUCCAACUUUAUAAUUUCAUUUUAUGCUUUAUACUUAUUUUUACUGAAAUAUUUACUUAUCUAAACAGCAAUCUUCUGGAAAGUUACUUUUAUCUCCCCUCCCAUUCGGGUCUUUGUGAUUUGAUGCCUUUACAAAUGUAUACA